CGGGAAGUAGCGUAGCCUGGUAUCGCGCCUGCUUUGGGAGCAGGAGGUCGGAGGUUCAAAUCCUCUCUUCCCGACCA
rnacentral:tRNA from 1 species